GCCGACGUAGCUCAGCUGGUAGAGCACAGUACUCGUAAUACUGGGGUCAUGGGUUCAAAUCCCAUCGUCGGCU
rnacentral:tRNA from 1 species